rnacentral:SRP_RNA from 1 species
GCCAGGCAUGGUGGCUCAUGCCUGUAAUCCCAGCACUCUGGGAGGCUGAGGUGGGUGGAUCACCUGAGGUCAGGAGUUCGAGACCAGCCUGGCCAACAUGGUGAAACCCCGUCUCUA